UCCCUACAUUCAUGCAUUUUUUUCCUCUCUCUAAACACACACUUCUGGAAACCUCAGUCAUAGCAAAAUUAGCUAGAAAUGGAUUUAGAUAAGAAAUUCCCACUCAAAUACAAGUGUGUUUUUUUUGUAUCCUGGAAGUUGAAAAUCCAUUAUCGUCGUGUUUAUUUUUUUCGAUUUUCUUGCAAGAAAAAGAUUCAGGAACAUUGAGACAAUGCAAAAAAUUGAAGCUCUGAUCUAUUCCAAAAAAACAUUUCAAGAAGGGAUCAUCGGGCAAAGAUCAUGCGUUUGAAGUAUCCAGUGGGUUGUGUUGAAGAAGAAGGCAAUGGGUUGUGUUGAAGACAAAGGCACUGAUUGAUGUGGUUGUUUAUAAUUUUUUUUUCUGGAUGUUGUGUUCAAAGUAGUGUGUUUUAUGCUAUAUUUGUUUGUUUGCAUUCCUUUUUUUAUUGGUUGUUGGGCAAACCGAGUAUGUGUUUUAAUAUAAUGGAUCUAAAUUGCUUA